GGGGCCUGGCGGGGCAUCGGCCGGCGGGCGCUCCGCAACCCCUCACUGCCCUUGGAGCCGCCGGUUCGAGUCCCGUGUCCGCGCCCCGCCCGGCUGAGAUGCCAACGCUCCGGUGAGCAGCGACAGCCACGGGGACAGCGGUGGAGCCCAUGGAAUAGAGGAGCAGAGCCCCCCGCGCGGUGUCUCCGAGCAGGAGCCGGACAUGCCAGAGCCAGCCCCGCUCGGCGGGGACAGGAAAGCGGCGGAGAAGAAGCGGGUGGAGAAGGUGGGAGCCAAGGGCAGCGCUGCCGGGCCUCCAGUCCCCAGAACCCUCCCCGUGCAGAGCAAGGUGGAGCCGCCCAGCCUGGACCCUGCGGAGGAGCCGCUGCUCUGGGAAGGGCUCACCCUCAACAAGUGCAUCCUGGUGGCCUCCGUGGUCGCCCUGCUCAGCGUCACCUUCCAGGUGCUCCAAGCGCCAUGCUCCAAGGAGGGAAUCGCCCGCGGCCGGCAGGAACCUCCGCCCCCUCCCAUUCCCGAGGUCGUCAGCCCCAAGGUGGAGGAGAUCCCAGAGGUGGUGACGGCCCAGCCUGCGCCGCCGCCGCCGGAGAGCAGCGCGGUGGAGGAUGAUGGUGAUGACGAAGACGGUGACGAUGACAGCGAAGCUGACAGCAACCUGGCAGAACCCUGGAUCUUCAAGAAGUGGUUUGGCCGCACAAUACCAGAGGAUGGGGACAAGGAUGAGGACAAGGAUGAGGAUGAGGACAAGGACGAAGAACCUGCAGAUGUCCCCGAGGUGCCAGUGGCUGUGAUGGAGGGGAAGAAGAGCCAGGAGAAGCAGAAGAAGGUGGAGAAGGAGGAGGAGGAGGAAGAAGAAGAAAAAGAGGAGAAGGAGGAGGAAGAAGAGGAAGAGGAGGAGGAGGAGGAGAAGAAGAAGAAGGAGAAGAAGGAGAAAGCCCGGGAAGGCCGUGCUGUCCGUGCGGAGCGGAGCAGCCGGAGGGACGCACGAGCCAAGGACAGGACACCGUGGGACAAACCCGGCAGAGCCCCCAGGGCCCCCAGGGAACCGGAGCAGCAAGCCCAGAAGAAGCGGGACCGGGAGAGGAAGGAGAGGAAGGAGAGACGGCGGGAGCGGGAUGAGUCCAGGCGGGAGGGGUGGAAGGGCCGUCCCGGCAGGGCUGAGGGCGGCCGGGAGAGCCCGAGGCGGGACCGGAGGCUGCAGAAGGGCAGGAAGCCCUGGGAGCCGGCGCCGGGCAGGGACGGCAGGGCCAGGGAGGGCAAGAGGCGCGACUGA
rnacentral:lncRNA from 1 species